UCAAGCUACUAAGGGCACAUGGGGGAUGUCUUGGCGUUAAGAGAAUGGGCGUGGAAGUCUGCGAAAAGCCUGGGGAAGUUGACAAACAAACGAUGAUCCCGGGAUACCCUACCCAACCUGGUGAACUGAAACAUCUAAGUAACCAGAGGAAGAGAAAGAAAAAUCGAUUCCGUCAGUAGCGGCGAGCGAAAGCGGAAUAGCCCAAACCGCGAGGGUUUCCCUCACGGGGUUGUAGGACUUCAAUAUCUGAUUGAGACGCGUUAGUGGAACGGCUUGGAAAGACCGACCAUAGAGGGUGACAGUCCCGUACGCAAAAAUGUUGUCUCACGGUAGAAGCACCUGAGUAGGCCGGGUCACGUGAAACCCCGGUUGAAUCGACGAGGACCAUCUCGUAAGGCUAAAUACUCCUUAACGACCGAUAGUGAAUCAGUAGGGUGACUGAAUGAUGAGAAGAACCCCUUUUAGGGGAGGAACGUGAACCUGAAACCAUGUGCUUACAAGCGGUCGGAGCCCUAUGGCCUAGCCACGGGUGACGGCGUGCCUUUUGCAUAAUGAUCCGGCGAGUUGUGGUAUACGGCAGGUUAAGUCUUUACGGGACGUAGCCAGAGGGAAACCAAGUCUUAAUAGGGCGUUAGUCGUGUGCUGCAGACGCGAAAGCUGUGUGAUCUACCCAUGAGCAGGUUGAAGCGCGGGUUAAACUGCGUGGAGGACCGAACCCACUUGGGUUGAAAACCGAGGGGAUGACUUGUGGGGAGGACUGAAAGUGUAAUCAAACCAGCAGAUAGCUCGUUCUCUCCGAAAUAUCUUGAGGGAUAGCGUCGAGCCACUAUUUACCGGGGGUAGAGAUACUGAAUCGGAUGGGGGCCCUUCCCGGGGUACCUCACUGAACCAAACUCCGAAUACCGGUAAAACUAUCUCGGCAGUCAGUCCGCGGGGGAUAAGCUCCGCGGUCGAGAGGGAAACAACCCAGACCGUCUGCUAAGGUCCCUAAAUAAUACUAAGUCACUAAGGAAGUUGAAGUGCCGUGACAGCCGGGAUGUUGGCUUAGAAGCAGCCACCAUUUAAAAAGUGCGUAACAGCUUACCGGUCGAGCAUUUCUGCGCCGAUAAUGAACGGGAGUAAGUAUUAUACCGAAGCAACGGGUUCUAGUCUUCGGACUAGAGCGGUAGGAGAGCGCCGAUGAUCAGAUACAAGCCGUACGGUAACGAGCGGUGUCGGGGUCAUCGGGUGAUUAUGCCGGAAUGAGUAACGAUAAAGCAGGUGAGAAUCCUGCUCGCCGAAAGCCUAAGGUUUCCUGGGGAAGGUAAAUCCGCCCAGGGUUAGCCGGUACCUUAGUCGAGGCCGAAAGGCGUAGACGAUGGAGAAUAGGUCAAUAUUCCUAUGCCAUGUCGUGGAGUGAUGGAGGGACGGCGUCCGGAAUGAGAGCGGUACGAAUAGAUAUGUCCGUGGAGGCAACUGAGAUGAUGGGGGCUAAAUUACCUGUCACAAGUCAAGGUUGUCGACCGAGAGCAUUUAAGUUCUCGAAGUCUCUGGAAGGACGUCCAAGAAAAGCUCCUAGCUUUGAAGCGACGUGACCGUACUAAAACUGACACAGGUAGGUGAGACGAGUAGUCUAAGGCGCUCGGGAGAACGGUGGUUAAGGAACUCUGCAAAAUGGCCCCGUAAGUUCGCGAUAAGGGGCGCCUACGCAAGUAGGCCACAGAAAAUCGGCUCUAACGACUGUUUAUCAAAAACACAGGACUCUGCUAACACGCAAGUGGAUGUAUAGAGUCUGACGCCUGCCCGGUGCUGGUAGGUUAAGGAAGGCGGUUAGCCUCACGGCGAAGCUGGCGACCGAAGCCCCAGUAAACGGCGGCCCUAACUAUGAGGGUCCUAAGGUAGCGAAGUUCCUUGUCGGGUAAGUUCCGACCUGCAUGAAAGGCGUAACGAUUUGAGCACUGUCUCAACCACCGACCCGGUGAAAUUGUAGUUGUGGUGAAGAUGCCACAUACCCGCGGUUAGACGGAAAGACCCCGUGAACCUUUACUGCAGGCUGAUAUUGGGCUGAGGUAUAAUUUGUGUAGGAUAGGUGGGAGGCUAUGAGACCGGCACGCUAGUGUCGGAGGAGCCGUCCUUGAAAUACCACCCUGGUUAUGCUUUAGUUCUAACCUCGACUCUUGAAUCAGAGCGAGGGACAAUGUCAGUUGGGCAGUUUGACUGGGGCGGUCUCCUCCCAAAGAGUAACGGAGGAGUGCAAUGGUACGCUCAGCCUGGACGGCAAUCAGGCGAAGAGAGUAAAGUUAGAAGCGUGCUUGACUGCGAGACCCAUAAGUCGAGCAGGUACGAAAGUAGGUCUUAGUGAUCCUGUAAUCCCGUAUGGAAGGGUUAUAGCUCAACAGAUAAAAGGUACUCCGGGGAUAACAGGCUUAUCGCAUCCGAGCGUCCAUAGCGGCGAUGCGGUUUGGCACCUCGAUGUCGGCUCAUCACAUCCUGGGGGUGAAGAAGCUCCCAAGGGUUUGGCUGUUCGCCAAUGAAAGUGGUACGUGAGCUGGGUUCAGACCGUCGUGAGACAGGUCGGUCCCUAUCUGCCGUGGGCGUUCGAAACUUGAGGGUGUUCAACUUUAGUACGAGAGGAUUUGGUUGGACGAAGCUCUGGUGUACCAGUUGUCGCGCUAGCGGCACGGCUGGAUAGCUAACUUCGGAACGGAUAAACGCUGAAAGCAUCUAAGCGUGAAGCCCGACCCAAGAUUAGGUUUCGUAUGUCACUUGUGACGAGAGUCCCCUGGAAGACGACCAGGUUGAUAGGCUGGAUGUGUAAGCAUGGUAACGUGUUUAGCUAACCAGUACUAACGGACGAAGGCUUGACCAU
rnacentral:rRNA from 1 species